ACAUUGGCUUGGGAUUAUUAACAAAAAAAUAAGAAAUUUUACAUGUUCUGAAAAUUCAUUAAUUUGUAGUCAACAUUUUACAAGCGAUUGUUUUUCAAUAACAAGCAACGGCAAGCGUUUUUUGAAAUCAAAUGCAGUGCCUAGCAUAUUUAACACGCCUGUUAAAAAAAUACUUAAUCAACUGGAACCGCAGUUAAAUAUAUGUGAUGUUACUACGAAUAUCAAUGAAAAAUUAUCUACAGAAUUUAUUUGUGAAAAUGAUUCUACCUCAACGAAACAGCGCAGAACUAAGUUUGGCAACAUUACAGACAGUGAAACAUUGGAUACUCUGAAUUUGACUGAACCUAAAAGUAAACUACAGUGUGCACAAGAAAGAAUUGAAGAAUUGAAUAAAAAACUUAAAUGUUAUCAACAAAAAUGUAGAAGAUUACAGAAAAAAGUUACGUCAUUAUCGCAUUAAUAAUCCGCUAGUGCACAUUGCUAAUUGAUUUAUGAUUUAAAAAUAAAAUAUUUUCAUUGAUGAGGUAAAGAAAAAUGAAUAGGCUUCUGUGUGACUACCAAUAUGAGUAGAUAUGUACUAUCGGAAUAUAUGCGAACAAGAUGCUCCUGAAAUAUCUAACACAUUGAUAUUUGAUGCGGAAA